rnacentral:rRNA from 1 species
UACGAAGGGGGCUAGCGUUGUUCGGAAUCACUGGGCGUAAAGGGCGCGUAGGCGGUUCGUACAGUCAGACGUGAAAUUCCUGGGCUCAACCUGGGGGCUGCGUUUGAUACGUGCGGACUUGAGUGCGGAAGAGGGUCGUGGAAUUCCCAGUGUAGAGGUGAAAUUCGUAGAUAUUGGGAAGAACACCGGUGGCGAAGGCGGCGACCUGGUCCGAUACUGACGCUGAGGCGCGAAAGCGUGGGGAGCAAACAGG